rnacentral:rRNA from 1 species
AUUGAACGCUGGCGGCAGGCCUAACACAUGCAAGUCGAGCGAGGGGCGGACGGGUGAGUAAUGUCUGGGAAACUGCCUGAUGGAGGGGGAUAACUACUGGAAACGGUAGCUAAUACCGCAUACCAUCGGAUGUGCACAGAUGGGAUUAGCUAGUAGGUGGGGUAAGGGCUCACCUAGACGACGAUCCCUAGCUGGUCUGAGAGGAUGACUAGUCACAUUGGAACUGAUACACGGUCCAUAUGCCUACGGGAGGCAGCAGUGGGGAAUAUUGCACAAUGGGCUCAAGCCUGAUGCAGCCAUGCCGCGUGUUUGAAGAAGGCCUUCGGGUUGUAAAGUACUUUCAGCGGGGAGGCGUUACUCGCAGAAGAAGCACCGGCUAACUCCGUGCCAGCAGCCGCGGUAAUAC